rnacentral:rRNA from 1 species
UACGAAGGGGGCUAGCGUUGCUCGGAAUCACUGGGCGUAAAGCGCACGUAGGCGGUCUUUUAAGUCAGGGGUGAAAUCCUGGAGCUCAACUCCAGAACUGCCUUUGAUACUGGGAGACUUGAGUCCGGGAGAGGUGAGUGGAACUGCGAGUGUAGAGGUGAAAAUUCGUAGAUAUUCGCAAGAACACCAGUGGCGAAGGCGGCUCACUGGCCCGGUACUGACGCUGAGGUGCGAAAGCGUGGGGAGCAACAGG